CUGGGCUCCUGAUGGGGAUCCCCUACCAGGGCCGGGGGCUGCAGCCAGGCGAGGCCAGCACAGGCCUGCUGGCCACUGCUGUUGGAUGAGAUCUUGGUAAAUACCUCUUAUGCCAGCAGUUUGAAGAUGAGUGGAGCCACCUUGCACAAGACAUUCUCUGGCCUGUUGACUCAAGGAGCAAGAUGAAUGCCCUGGCUCCUGCUCUACAGCUGGGGAAAUGCGGCAGCUGUUGAGGCACUGCUGUAGAUGACUGAUCCUGCUUCAUCUCAAGCGACUAUUAAAGAAGCCAGGAAGAAGGCACAAGAAAUCUAUUCUUCUUCAACACUAGACACCUGCUACCUGCCUUACUUCUGGCUUGGAGACCUGAUCUGCUUGCCUCUUGCUGGAGAAACAAGUAAGUCAAAACACAACAGCAAGCUCUCUCUCUUUUUUUUUUUUUCUUUCUGUCAUGACCUUGCCUCUCCAAGAUAACUCUCUCCUGGCACUCUGUAGUACUCACCAAUUUCCACUA